rnacentral:SRP_RNA from 1 species
CCUUGGGAUAGGAGGGGUGGUGACGUACCCUGUACCGCAAAUCGUGACUGGCGGUCCGAACGCUUCCGGGCGGCGCAACCGAGCUCAGGGCUUCCCGCGCAUGGACGUCGAUGUCUCGCCCCUGAGUGACUCGGGUUGUCGUGAACUGUAUCCGGAAGGAGACGGGAAUCGCAUAACCGGGGAAUCAGGUCAGGCCGGGAACGGAGCAGCCCUACUCGGGGCCAUGGGUGCCUCAGGGUUCCGGGACGGAGGAAGUGCGUGGGUCUGGUUCUGGGAAACGAGUGUCCACCGGGAGCCCUCCCACCU